GAUGAACGCUGGCGGCGUGCCUAACACAUGCAAGUCGAACGGAGAUUAUUGACGGAAGUUUUCGGAUGGAAGACGGUAAUCUUAGUGGCGGACGGGUGAGUAACGCGUGGGUAACCUGCCCCGUACAGGGGGAUAGCGUCGGGAAACUGACGGUAAGACCGCAUAGGACCACAUAUUCGCAUGGAUAAGUGGUGAAAAGGGAAACCUGGUAUGGGAUGGACCCGCGUCCGAUUAGCCAGUUGGCAGGGUAAAGGCCUACCAAAGCUUCGAUCGGUAGCCGGACUGAGAGGUCGGACGGCCACAUUGGGACUGAGACACGGCCCAGACUCCUAUUUGAGGCAGCAGUGGGGGAUAUUGCACAAUGGAGGAAACUCUGAUGCAGCGACGCCGCGUGAGUGAAGAAGUGCUCCGGCAUGUAAAGCUCUUUCAGCAGGGAAGAUGAUGACGGUACCUGAAUAAGAAGCCCCGGCUAACUACGUGCCAGCAGCCGCGGUAAUACGUAGGGGGCAAGCGUUAUCCGGAUUUACUGGGUGUAAAGGGAGCGCAGGCGGUCUGGCAAAUUGAGAGUGGAAACAGGGGGCUCCACCCCCUGACUGCUCCCUAACUGUUGGAUUGGAGUAUGGGAGAGGCUACGGAUUUCUAAUGCAACCGUUAAUGACACCAAACUG
rnacentral:rRNA from 1 species